GACGAACGCUGGCGGCGUGCCUAAUACAUGCAAGUUGAGCGCUGAAGGUUGGUUCUUGUCCCGACUGGAUGAGCAGCGAACGGGUGAGUAACGCGUGGGUAAUCUGCCUUUGAGCGGGGGACAACAUUUGGAAACGAAUGCUAACACCGCAUAAAAACUUUAAACACAAGUUUCAAGUUUGAAAGAUGCAAUUGCAUCACCUAAAGCUGAUCCCGGGUUGGAUUAGCUAGUUGGUGAGGAAAAGGCCCACCAAGGCGAGGAUCAGUAGCCGAUCUGAGCGGAUGAUCGCCACCAGGGGAACUGAGACACGCCCAAGACUCCUAGGGGGGGCACAAGAGGGGAAUAUUGGAAAAUGGGGGAAAGCCUGCCGCAGACAUGCGGCGGGUGAGAAGAAGGUUUUCGGAUUGUAAAGCAGUUUAAGUGGGGAGGAAGGGGAGUAAGUUAAAACCUUGCUGAUUUGACGUUACCAACAGAAAAAGCACCGGCUAACUACGUG
rnacentral:rRNA from 1 species